UACGGAGGGGGCUAGCGUUGUUCGGAAUUACUGGGCGUAAAGCGCGUGUAGGCGGACCUGCAAGUCGGACGUGAAAGCCCUGGGCUCAACCCAGGAACUGCAUCCGAAACUGCGGGCCUGGAGUGGUGGAGAGGGAAGCAGAAUUCCUGGUGUAGAGGUGAAAUUCGUAGAUAUCAGGAGGAACACCGGUGGCGAAGGCGGCUUCCUGGACACUUACUGACGCUGAGACGCGAAAGCGUGGGGAGCAAACAGG
rnacentral:rRNA from 1 species